rnacentral:rRNA from 1 species
UACGUAGGGGGCUAGCGUUGUCCGGAUUUAUUGGGCGUAAAGAGCGUGUAGGCGGCCAGGUAGGUCCGCUGUGAAAGUCCGAGGCUCAACCUCGGAAUGUCGGCGGAAACCCUUUGGCUAGAGUCCGGAAGAGGAGAGUGGAAUUCCCGGUGUAGCGGUGAAAUGCGCAGAUAUCGGGAAGAACACCCGUGGCGAAGGCGGCUCUCUGGAACGGUACUGACGCUGAGACGCGAAAGCGUGGGGAGCGAACAGG